GAAGUCAAGGUCCUCGCUCGCUCUUCGCCAUAAAAGCAAGCUUGAGAUCCCAUAAAAAGCAAGCAAGACAUCACUUCAUUAGAUAGUUUUCACAGUGACCUGCCACCAAGAGUUGCAAUCUGCUUUAUCCUAUCUCUUAGGAUUAUUUCCACAUUUCAGUCAUGUUCUCCGUGCCCAAAAAUGCCUGUUGCUUAUUGGUGCUAUGCUGUCUGAUUGCGAUCCAAGCUGAGCGGCUGCCGACAGCAAACUUCAUGGCUAGUCUCGUGUCACGUGUACAAGAAAUCGAACCCUUGGAGGUGCGAGAGUAUAGAAACAGCUGCCUUCGAGAGCCCGGAUGUCGAUGGAAGUGUACAGAUAUUUGUUAUUGCGUGUGCGGUUCUCGAUUAAACAAAAACUGAACUAACUAAAGGCAGCCUAAAGCUGUUUUAACCAGUAUUUGCAAUUAAAUGUACAUAUAUUUUAUUCUGAAUGUAAUAAAAGUUUUUUUUUACCUCUA